rnacentral:misc_RNA from 1 species
AUCCCUCCCCGCGCGUAGUCGCCCUUCAUCAGCCGCGUCGUUGAGCUUGUGUGUGUGUUUACAUUAGACGCACUUGUAUUCCACGCUCCUCUCCGCGUCCAAGCAAAGUCCUAAGGGUGAACGGACACACACACGCUCAACCAACCACACACGAGCUCAGAUCUUCACUCGGGACUAGAUUACGCCUCCUCCAGCCCCGGUUCCCCUGGUCUCGCCACAAUGAAUUCGGACGAGUUUCGGCAGCGUGGCAAGGAGAUGGUGGACUACAUUGCCGACUAUCUGGACACUAUUGAGGAGAGGCGCGUGACUCCAGCCAUCGAGCCCGGCUACCUGCGAAAACUGGUGCCCAGCGAAGCGCCGCAGAAACCUGAGCAAUGGGAUGAUAUCAUGAAGGACGUGGAGGAAAAGAUUAUGCCUGGGGUAACUCAUUGGCAGCACCCGAGAUUCCACGCUUACUUCCCUGCCGGCGACUCCUACCCCAGCCUCAUCGGUGACAUGCUUUGUAACGGCCUGGGCUGCAUUGGUUUCUCUUGGGCCGCCUCACCAGCUUGUACGGAGCUUGAAACGAUAGUGCUCGAUUGGGUGGGCAAAAUGGUCGGCCUUCCAGAACAGUUUCUCUCCUUCAGCGAAAACAGUAAAGGAGGCGGAGUUAUUCAGGGCUCAGCGUCAGAGUGCAUCUUCGUGGCCCUGCUGGCUGCUCGCGCCCACACCAUUCGUCAACUGAAAAAGCAGCACCCAUUCGUAGAGGAGGGAGUACUGCUGUCCAAGAUGAUGGCGUACUGCAGUAAAGAGGCACACAGCUGCGUCGAGAAGGCCGCGAUGAUGGCCUUCGUCAAACUGAGGAUUCUGGAGCCCGACGAGAACCAUAGUCUUCGGGGCGCCACACUACAGCAGGUGAUGCAAGAGGACAGAGCAAUGGGUCUUGUGCCCUUCUACGUUUCGGCAACCCUGGGCACCACCUCCUGCUGCUCCUUCGAUAACCUCGCCGAGAUUGGCCCCGUGUGUGAGGAGUUCGGAGCUUGGCUGCAUGUCGACGCUGCAUACGCCGGCAGUUCCUUUACGUGUCCUGAGCUGCGGGGACCAAUGAGAGGCAUCGAGUACGCCUCGUCAUUCAACUUCAAUCCAAACAAGUUUAUGCUGACACACUUCGAUUGUUCACUCAUGUGGGUGCGGGACCGGUUCAAGCUGACACAAGCUCUGGUGGUGGAUCCUUUGUAUCUACAGCACUCCUACUCUGAGAAAUCUAUCGACUACAGGCACUGGGGCAUUCCUCUCAGCCGCAGGUUCAGGGCUCUCAAGAUCUGGUUCGUGAUUAGGUCUUUCGGCAUCGAGGGACUGCAGAAGUACAUUAGGAGUCACUGUCGCCUGGCCCGUCGCUUCGAGGCCCACGUGAAGAAAGAGCCGAUGUUUGAGGUAGCCAGUCCUGUCCACCUCGGCCUCGUCUGCUUCAGGUUGCGAGGAUCAAACGACAUCAACCAGAAGCUGCUGACUUCGAUCAACGCCUCGGGAAAGCUGCACAUGGUCCCAGCUUCCCUCAACGAUAAGUAUGUCAUCCGUUUCUGCGUGUGCCGCCAGACUGCCACGGAUGAUGAUAUUGACUACGCCUGGGAAGUCAUCAAACAGUUCGCCACAGACGUUCAGGAAACCAACCCGGAGAUCAUCGAGAACUACAGCCAGUUCGAAGAUUCAAAACAUCGCAUGGACUUCACUCCGAACCCUGUAAGGCACUGACUAGUGGCAUCAGAGGUGGUAAUGGUUCACCGUCUUCUGGUUUUUCAGGCGGAAGAAAGGCUGAAGAAACCAGUGGAGGCCGAGGACGAGGUGGUCAAGGCGGAGAAGGUCAGGAAGCAAGACGCCAGCCUGCAAUACAAACGCUCCUUCUUCGUCCGCAUGGUGUCUGAUCCCAAAAUCUACAACCCCAAAAUUGUUC